rnacentral:rRNA from 1 species
UGGGGAAUAUUGGACAAUGGGCGAAAGCCUGAUCCAGCCAUGCCGCGUGUGUGAAGAAGGCCUUUUGGUUGUAAAGCACUUUAAGCGAGGAGGAGGCUACUUGGAUUAAUACUCUAGGAUAGUGGACGUUACUCGCAGAAUAAGCACCGGCUAACUCUGUGCCAGCAGCCGCGGUAAUACAGAGGGUGCGAGCGUUAAUCGGAUUUACUGGGCGUAAAGCGUGCGUAGGCGGCUUUUUAAGUCGGAUGUGAAAUCCCUGAGCUUAACCUAGGAAUUGCAUUUGAUACUGGGAAGCUAGGGGAUGGGAGAGGAUGGUAGAAUUCCAGGUGUAGCGGUGAAAUGCGUAGAGAUCUGGAGGAAUACCGAUGGCGAAGGCAGCCAUCUGGCCUAAUACUGACGCUGAGGUACGAAAGCAUGGGGAGCAAACAGG